UACGUAGGGUGCAAGCGUUGUCCGGAAUUAUUGGGCGUAAAGAGCUCGUAGGCGGUCUGUCGCGUCUGCUGUGAAAACUCAGGGCUUAACCCUGAGCUUGCAGUGGGUACGGGCAGACUAGAGUGCGGUAGGGGAGACUGGAAUUCCUGGUGUAGCGGUGAAAUGCGCAGAUAUCAGGAGGAACACCGGUGGCGAAGGCGGGUCUCUGGGCCGAGACUGACGCUGAGGCGCGAAAGCGUGGGGAGCAAACAGG
rnacentral:rRNA from 1 species